GACGAACGCGGCGGCGUGCCUAAUACAUGCAAGUAGAACGCUGAAGGAGGAGCUUGCUCUUCUGGAUGAGUUGCGAACGGGUGAGUAACGCGUAGGUAACCUGCCUGGUAGCGGGGGAUAACUAUUGGAAACGAUAGCUAAUACCGCAUAACAUUGACUAUUGCAUGAUAGUCAAUUGAAAGGUGCAAAUGCACCACUACCAGAUGGACCUGCGUUGUAUUAGCUAGUUGGUGGGGUAACGGCUCACCAAGGCGACGAUACAUAGCCGACCUGAGAGGGUGAUCGGCCACACUGGGACUGAGACACGGCCCAGACUCCUAUGGGAGGCAGCAGUAGGGAAUCUUCGGCAAUGGACGGAAGUCUGACCGAGCAACGCCGCGUGAGUGAAGAAGGUUUUCGGAUCGUAAAGCUCUGUUGUAAGAGAAGAACGAGUGUGAGAGUGGAAAGUUCACACUGUGACGGUAUCUACCAGAAAAGGAC
rnacentral:rRNA from 1 species